GUGAGGAAUUUUCCGCAAUGGGCGAAAGCCUGACGGAGCAAUGCCGCGUGAAGGAUGAAGGCCUAUGGGUUGUAAACUUCUUUUCUCAGAAAAGAAUUAUGACGGUAUCUGAGGAAUAAGCAUCGGCUAACUCUGUGCCAGCAGCCGCGGUAAGACAGAGGAUGCAAGCGUUAUCCGGAAUGAUUGGGCGUAAAGCGUCUGUAGGUUGUUUAAAAAGUAUUCUGUCAAAGAUUAGGGCUUAACCCUAGAUAGGCAGAAUAAACUUUUAAGCUAGAGUUUGGUAGAGGCAGAGGGAAUUCCCGGUGGAGCGGUGAAAUGCGUAGAUAGCGGGAGGAACACCAAAGGCGAAGGCACUCUGCUGGGCCAAUACUAACACUGAGAGACGAAAGCGAGGGGAGCAAAUGGGAUUAGAAACCCGGGUAGUCC
rnacentral:rRNA from 1 species